UAGAGUUUCCAAGGAGUGCCUGGUGGAUUCAAACUGCUGACCUUUUGGUUAGCAGCGGUAGCUCUUACCUAACCACGAUGCCACCAGGAUUUCUGGGCUCGCUAUAGUACCUGGUUAUUUAAUGAACACUAAUCUAGGUCGCUAUACGUCAGAAUCGACUCGAUGGCAGUGGGUUUAAUCUAGGUGUUGCUGUGAAGGUAUUUUGUAGAUGUGGUUAACAGCUACAAUCGUUUUGACUUUAAGCAAUGAAGAUUACCCUGGAAAACACAGGUGCGCCUCAUCCCAUCGGUUGAAGGCCUUGAGGGCAAAAACAGUUUCUCAUGCAAGAAGAAAUUCUGCCUCUAGACUGCAGCAUAAAAUCCUGCCUGAGCUUCUAGGCUGCCAGCCUGCCCUACAAAUUUCAGGCUUGCCAGCCUCCACAAUCACAUGAGCCAAUUCUUUAAAAUAAAUCCCUCUCUCUCUCUCUCUCUAUCUAUAUACAGGUAGUCCCUAACUUAUGACAUACUCAAGUUACAAUGAACUGAGCUUACAACUGUCCGCUUUUUUUUUUGGUACAUCUUAUCAUUAGUAAUAUAUACUGCAUACAAUGUUGUAGCGUGUAAUUUGCUGAUGUUAUCAUUCUCCGGCCAACCCCAAAGACAAAUAAAGAUCAGAUGUAUAAAGAUACUGAUAAUAAAAGGCAAUAAUCAUGAAACUAAAAAUUAAAAAAAUGAGGUAUUUGACUGAAAUCUGAAUCAGUUUACAAAGGAGUCAUUGGAAUGGAACCCCGUCGUAAGUUGGGGACUAUCUGUAUGUAUAUACAUAUAUGUGAAAUUUGUAGGGCAGGCCGGCGGGCUGGAAACUCAGGCAGGAUUUCCUGCUUCAGUCUAGAGGCAGAAUUUCUUCUUUCCUGGGAAACUUGAUGUUCUCUUAAGGCCUUCAACUGAUUGGAUGAGGCCCACCCACAUUUUCCAGGGUAAUGUUCUUUACUUAAAGUGACCUCCCUCCUGCCCUUGCACUAUGUUCCAAUGAUGAUGAUGAUGAUGACGGUGACAGGAGCAGUAAUAGUUGUGAUAGUAAUAACAAUAAUACCUAAUACUGAGUACUUGUUAUUUUCUAGGUACUGUGCUAAGCACAUCACGUUCAUUGUUUCAUUUAAUUCUCACAACCAUCUCAUGAAAAAAGUGUUAUCAUUAUUUCUAGUUUGCAUGUAAAGAAGCCUAGGCAUUAAAAGGUUAAGUGAUUUGCUCGCGUUCGCACAGUGUAUCAGUGGUGGAGUGGAGAUUCAGAUCCAGGCUGCCUGACUCUAAUGCCCGUGUAGAGUUUUGACCAUGUUUCUGGAGUUUGGGGGCUUGCAGCACCCUCAAACACACUGUGCUGGUUUGUCAUUCUUCCUUGGCACCUGCUAUUUCCUCGCCUGGAAUCUUCCUUCACUUGGUAAGUAAUUCAUCAUUGAAAACAUAGCCUGGAAUUAUCUCCCCUGAGAAACCUUCUCUGACCCUGCCCUGUUUCUCUAUUUGCCUCCUCCAUUAGACCGUAAACCCUCAGGGCAGAGACUGCUGUAUAUCUGGCCCUAUGGCCAGCCCAGGGUCUGGAUGUUCUGUAGAUGUUUGUUGAUUGAGUCAUCUAGUCCAUUUCUCUUGUUUCCCUCUGUGGGUGCCAGGUAAGUACAUAUGGCACCAGUGAGGUAAAUGGGGAUGCAUGGCUUGCCUUUCCCCUCAGCGUUGGAAUAACAAAGGACCUCAUUCUCAAAUUGACUUUGCAAGUUAGGUUAGGUGGGAAGAUAAGAUGUGCGCCCUGGGCUGAAGCCAGCACGUCACACCAAGACCAGACUCUGCUCAUUGGCCAAAGGCCUCUCACACCAUGCCACUCUUGGUGGCAUCUAAGUCAAGGGAGCUUCUGUAAACAGGUGGCUGUAGCAGGACAAGUCAGGGCUUGUUGCCUCUCAUACAUAUAGGCUGUUUUGUUUUUUCCCCUUUGGUCUUAGCACUUUUAGUGGGUGACCUCAGCUGUAAUUCUGAGAAAACCAAGGAUGGAAAAAAACAAAAUAGCCCCCCCAUCAAAAAAAAAAAAAAAACUUAUUUCGAAGCAUUUGUAUUUCCUGAAGUCAAAUGGCAAGUGUAUUUUAGUUUUUCUUAAAGAAUCUUUUCAGAUGGCUUCAAGCUAAAGGAAAAACCCUUUCUGGUAGCUGUUUUUAAGAGUGACUUUGCUAGAGCUGGUUCAGAGAGGGGACUAGGAACCAGAACACUGGAGGAGCAGUUGAAGGAAACCUGGAGAAGGGCACAUUCGUUGUCCUUUAACUUUCAACAAGGCUGUCUGCAGGAAGACAGUGCUGCCUGAUCUGUAGGACCCAAGCACAAAGGCUCCAAGUGGAAGUUUAGGAAGAUGAACUUACCUAAUUGAGGCAGGCAGCCUCAGAGCCCAACCCUUCUAAGAGACACCUGUUCUGACUUCUCCUCCUACACCAAGCAGAAUAGGCUGCACAUUCUUCUAAAACUGUCCUUGACAAGAUAACCACAGAAUGGGCCAUAGGCGGCCUGAACCAGCCUCUAGGUGGAGACUUAACACGCUAAUGAAGAAAAAUCGACCUUUUCCUCCAUCCUGGAGAGUUGAACCCUUGUCUAAAGAAAAUGCCUCGUCAUUCCCAAGAUCUGAGCAACUGAGUGAAGGACUCUUGUUUAUUGGCUGUAACAAGUCACACCAAGCAGAACGUGGAGUUUCCACCCAGCAACAUAAUGGCUAACACUUCUCUCACCCCCAUUUCUUGGAUGAGACAAUGGAAAGACCUCUACUAAGGACACUCAAGUCACAUAGUAAGUGAACAGAGCUGGCAGCUCAAAUAAGAUUUGACAAGUCAGUAAUGUUCAAAGAUGGAGUGACCUGAUUUGAGGGUUGUGAGCCUGUGUCAAGAGCUAGAUGAAGAUUUCAUGGGUCAUCACCUGUGUGACUUUAAUCUCCUUAUCCUUGAAAGCCCAUGACACAACUUUAUUUUAUGGUUGUGGGAACAGGUAGAAGUGACUUAUAAAUAUGUGGUGUUACAUGGAGCUGGAAUCCUGUAAUGUCCCUGGAAUUUUGAACGCUGGGAGCAUAGGGAGCAAAAUACAUUCCUGCCUUAUUCACUUUCUUGCUGAAUGUGAUUGGAGGACCUAUGAGGCCUAGUUUGAAGAACAGAAUACUUGGGUAGGGGAAAAGGAGAGCUGUUUGCAAAUAGUGGCCGAGAUAAUGGCCUGGGAGUUGGAAUCCUAGAAUUAUCCCUCUCUGGGCUUCAGUGUCCAUUUCUAGAUGGAGAGCAGUGUGGAUCUGAUGAUCUAGAAGGGU